rnacentral:rRNA from 1 species
UACAGAGGCCUCAAGCGUUGUUCGGAAUUACUGGGCGUAAAGGGAAUGUAGGCGGAAGCGUAAGUCAGAUGUGAAAGCCCUGGGCUUAACCCGGGAAAUGCAUUUGAUACUGCGUUUCUAGAGUGCGAGAGAGGAGAGCGGAAUUCCAGGUGUAGGGGUGAAAUCCGUAGAUAUCUGGAGGAAUACCGAUGGCGUAGGCAGCUCUCUGGCUCGUAACUGACGCUGAGAUUCGAAAGCGUGGGUAGCAAACAGG